rnacentral:rRNA from 1 species
AGAGUUUGAUCCUGGCUCAGAUUGAACGCUGGCGGCACGCUUAACACAUGCAAGUCGAACGGUAGCAGGCCCGCAAGGGUGCUGACGAGUGGCGGACGGGUGAGUAAUGCGUAGGAAUCUGCCUAGUAAUGGGGGAUAACCUAGGGAAACUUAGGCUAAUACCGCAUAAGCCCUAAGGGGGAAAGCAGGGGAUCGUAAGACCUUGCGUUAUUAGAUGAGCCUACGUCGGAUUAGCUAGUUGGUGGGGUAAAGGCCUACCAAGGCGAUGAUCCGUAGCUGGUCUGAGAGGACGACCAGCCACACUGGGACUGAGACACGGCCCAGACUCCUACGGGAGGCAGCAGUGGGGAAUAUUGGACAAUGGGCGCAAGCCUGAUCCAGCGAUGCCGCGUGUGUGAAGAAGGCCUGCGGGUUGUAAAGCACUUUCAGUGGGGAGGAAAGACUCCAUGCUAAUACCAUGGAGAGUUGACGUUACCCACAGAAGAAGCACCGGCUAACUCUGUGCCAGCAGCCGCGGUAAUACAGAGGGUGCAAGCGUUAAUCGGAAUUACUGGGCGUAAAGGGUGUGUAGGUGGUUUGAUAAGUUGGGUGUGAAAGUCCUGGGCUUAACCUGGGAAUUGCGCCUAAUACUGUCGAGCUAGAGUACUGUAGAGGAAGGUGGAAUUUCCGGUGUAGCGGUGAAAUGCGUAGAUAUCGGAAGGGAACAUCAGUGGCGAAGCGACCUUCUGGACAGAUACUGACACUGAGACACGAAAGCAUGGGUAGCAAACAGGAUUAGAUACCCUGGUAGUCCAUGCUGUAAACGAUGAGAACUGGCUGUUGGGCGCCGUGAGGCGCUUAGUAGCGAAGCUAACGCGUUAAGUUCUCCGCCUGGGGAGUACGACCGCAAGGCUAAAACUUCAAAGGAA